rnacentral:rRNA from 1 species
UUGAAGAGUUUGAUCAUGGCUCAGAUUGAACGCUGGCGGCAGGCCUAACACAUGCAAGUCGAGCGGUAGCACAGAGAGCUUGCUCUCGGGUGACGAGCGGCGGACGGGUGAGUAAUGUCUGGGAAACUGCCUGAUGGAGGGGGAUAACUACUGGAAACGGUAGCUAAUACCGCAUAAUGUCGCAAGACCAAAGUGGGGGACCUUCGGGCCUCAUGCCAUCAGAUGUGCCCAGAUGGGAUUAGCUAGUAGGUGGGGUAAUGGCUCACCUAGGCGACGAUCCCUAGCUGGUCUGAGAGGAUGACCAGCCACACUGGAACUGAGACACGGUCCAGACUCCUACGGGAGGCAGCAGUGGGGAAUAUUGCACAAUGGGCGCAAGCCUGAUGCAGCCAUGCCGCGUGUGUGAAGAAGGCCUUCGGGUUGUAAAGCACUUUCAGCGGGGAGGAAGGCGAUAAGGUUAAUAACCUUGKCGAUUGACGUUACCCGCAGAAGAAGCACCGGCUAACUCCGUGCCAGCAGCCGCGGUAAUACGGAGGGUGCAAGCGUUAAUCGGAAUUACUGGGCGUAAAGCGCACGCAGGCGGUCUGUCAAGUCGGAUGUGAAAUCCCCGGGCUCAACCUGGGAACUGCAUUCGAAACUGGCAGGCUAGAGUCUUGUAGAGGGGGGUAGAAUUCCAGGUGUAGCGGUGAAAUGCGUAGAGAUCUGGAGGAAUACCGGUGGCGAAGGCGGCCCCCUGGACAAAGACUGACGCUCAGGUGCGAAAGCGUGGGGAGCAAACAGGAUUAGAUACCCUGGUAGUCCACGCCGUAAACGAUGUCGAUUUGGAGGUUGUGCCCUUGAGGCGUGGCUUCCGGAGCUAACGCGUUAAAUCGACCGCCUGGGGAGUACGGCCGCAAGGUUAAAACUCAAAUGAAUUGACGGGGGCCCGCACAAGCGGUGGAGCAUGUGGUUUAAUUCGAUGCAACGCGAAGAACCUUACCUGGUCUUGACAUCCACAGAACUUUCCAGAGAUGGAUUGGUGCCUUCGGGAACUGUGAGACAGGUGCUGCAUGGCUGUCGUCAGCUCGUGUUGUGAAAUGUUGGGUUAAGUCCCGCAACGAGCGCAACCCUUAUCCUUUGUUGCCAGCGGUYMGGCCGGGAACUCAAAGGAGACUGCCAGUGAUAAACUGGAGGAAGGUGGGGAUGACGUCAAGUCAUCAUGGCCCUUACGACCAGGGCUACACACGUGCUACAAUGGCAUAUACAAAGAGAAGCGACCUCGCGAGAGCAAGCGGACCUCAUAAAGUAUGUCGUAGUCCGGAUUGGAGUCUGCAACUCGACUCCAUGAAGUCGGAAUCGCUAGUAAUCGUAGAUCAGAAUGCUACGGUGAAUACGUUCCCGGGCCUUGUACACACCGCCCGUCACACCAUGGGAGUGGGUUGCAAAAGAAGUAGGUAGCUUAACCUUCGGGAGGGCGCUUACCACUUUGUGAUUCAUGACUGGGGUGAAGUCGUAACAAGGUAACCGUAGGGGAACCUGCGGUUGGAUCACCUCCUU